CUUAAGUGAAGAGUUUGAUCCUGGCUCAGAUUGAACGCUGGCGGCAUGCCUAACACAUGCAAGUCGAACGGCAGCACAGCAGUAGCAAUACUGUGGGUGGCGAGUGGCGGACGGGUGAGUAAUGCAUCGGGACCUGCCCAGACGUGGGGGAUAA
rnacentral:rRNA from 1 species